rnacentral:rRNA from 1 species
UACGUAGGGUGCAAGCGUUGUCCGGAAUUACUGGGCUUAAAGAGUUCGUAGGCGGCAUGACAAGUCGGGUGUGAAAGCCCUCGGCUUAACCGAGGAAUUGCGCUCUAAACUGUCGUGCUCGAGGAACCUAGAGGUGAGCAGAACAGAUGGUGGAGCGGUGAAAUGCGUUGAUAUCAUCUGGAAUACCGGAGGCGAAGGCGGCUCACUGGGGGUUUUCUGACGCUGAGGAACGAAAGCCAGGGUAGCGAACGGG